rnacentral:rRNA from 1 species
GAUGAACGCUAGCUACAGGCUUAACACAUGCAAGUCGCGGGGCAGCAUGGGGGUUGCUUGCAAUCCCCGAUGGCGACCGGCGCACGGGUGAGUAACGCGUAUCCAACCUGCCCUUCACCACGGGAUAACCCGGCGAAAGUCGGACGAAUACCGUAUGUUGUCCAUUGACGGCAUCCGAUUUGGACGAAAGGCUUGGCGGUGAGGGAUGGGGAUGCGUCCGAUUAGCAAGUCGACGGGGUAACGACCCACCGUGGCGCCGAUGGGUACGGGUUCUGAGAGGAAGCUCCCCCAUACUGGAACUGAGACACGUUCCAGGCUACUACGGCAGGCAGCAGUAAGGAAUAUUGGGCAAUGAGCUUAAGCCUGAACCAGCCAAGUAGCGUGCAGGAUGCCGGCCCUAUGGGUUGUAAACUGCUUUUAUGCGGGGAUAAAGUGGCCCACGUGUGGGAUUUUGAAGGUACCGCAUGAAUAAGGACCGGCUAAUUCCGUG